rnacentral:rRNA from 1 species
AACGUAGGAGGCGAGCGUUAUCCGGAUUUACUGGGCGUAAAGCGUGCGUAGGCGGUUGGUCAAGUCAGAUGUUAAAGCCCCUGGCUCAACUAGGGGAGGUCAUUUGAUACUGUCCGGCUUGAGGGUGAGAGAGGAGAGUGGAAUUCCCGGUGUAGCGGUGGAAUGCGUAGAGAUCGGGAGGAACACCAGUGGCGAAAGCGGCUCUCUGGCUCACCCCUGACGCUGAGUGCACGAAAGCGUGGGGAGCAAACGGGAUUAGAUACCCCGGUAGUCCACGCCCUAAACGAUGAGGGCUGGGUGUCGGCAGGGUUUCCUGUCGGUGCCGAAGCUAACGCGAUAAGCCCUCCGCCUGGGGACUACGAACGCAAGUUUA